rnacentral:rRNA from 1 species
UGGGCGGGAGCCUGAUCCAGCCAUGCCGCGUGCAGGAAGACUGCCCUAUGGGUUGUAAACUGCUUUUAUACGGGAAGAAUAAGUGUUACGUGUAGCACGAUGACGGUACCGUAAGAAUAAGCACCGGCUAACUCCGUGCCAGCAGCCGCGGUAAUACGGAGGGUGCAAGCGUUAUCCGGAAUCAUUGGGUUUAAAGGGUCCGUAGGUGGACUAAUAAGUCAGUGGUGAAAGUCUGCAGCUUAACUGUAGAAUUGCCAUUGAUACUGUUAGUCUUGAAUUGUUGUGAAGUAACUAGAAUAUGUAGUGUAGCGGUGAAAUGCAUAGAUAUUACAUAGAAUACCGAUUGCGAAGGCAGGUUACUAACAAUAUAUUGACACUGAUGGACGAAAGCGUGGGGAGCGAACAGGAUUAGAUACCCUGGUAGUCCACGCCGUAAACGAUGGUUACUAGCUGUCCGGUCUAAUUGAGGACUGGGUGGCCAAGCGAAAGUGAUAAGUAACCCACCUGGGGAGUACGUUCGCAAGAAUGAAACUCAAAGGAAUUGACGGGGGCCCGCACAAGCGGUGGAGCAUGUGGUUUAAUCCGAUGAUACGCGAGGAACCUUACCAGGGCUUAAAUGUAGUCUGACAGAUUUGGAAACAGAUUUUUCUUCGGACAGAUUACAAGGUGCUGCAUGGUUGUCGUCAGCUCGUGCCGUGAGGUGUCAGGUUAAGUCCUAUAACGAGCGCAACCCCUGUGGUUAGUUGCCAGCGAGUCAAGUCGGGAACUCUAGCCAGACUGCCGGUGCAAACCGUGAGGAAGGUGGGGAUGACGUCAAAUCAUCACGGCCCUUACGUCCUGGGCCACACACGUGCUACAAUGGUAGGUACAGAGAGCAGCCACGUCGCAAGGCGGAGCGAAUCUAUAAAACCUAUCACAGUUCGGAUCGGGGUCUGCAACUCGACCCCGUGAAGCUGGAAUCGCUAGUAAUCGCAUAUCAGCCAUGAUGCGGUGAAUACGUUCCCGGGCCUUGUACACACCGCCCGUCAAGCCAUGGAAGCUGGGGGUACCUGAAGUCCGUCACCGCAAGGAGCGGCCUAGGGUAAGACCGGUAACUGGGGCUAAGUCGUAACAAGGUAGCCGUACCGGAAGGUGCGGCUGGAACACCUCCUUUCU